AGUGAACGCUGGCGGUAGGCCUAACACAUGCAAGUCGAACGGCAGCACAGUAAGAGCUUGCUCUUACGGGUGGCGAGUGGCGGACGGGUGAGGAAUACAUCGGAAUCUACUUUUUCGUGGGGGAUAACGUAGGGAAACUUACGCUAAUACCGCAUACGACCUACGGGUGAAAGCAGGGGAUCUUCGGACCUUGCGCGAUUGAAUGAGCCGAUGUCGGAUUAGCUAGUUGGCGGGGUAAAGGCCCACCAAGGCGACGAUCCGUAGCUGGUCUGAGAGGAUGAUCAGCCACACUGGAACUGAGACACGGUCCAGACUCCGACGGGAGGCAGCAGUGGGGAAUGUUGGACAAUGGGCGCAAGCCUGAUCCAGCCAUACCGCGUGGGUGAAGAAGGCCUGCGGGUUGUAAAGCCCUUUUGUUGGGAAAGAAAAGCAGCAGGUUAAUACCCCGCUGUUCGGACGGGACCCAAAGAAUAAGCACCGGCUAACUUCGU
rnacentral:rRNA from 1 species